AAGGAUUAACACAACUGGUUUUCACAAUGGUUUUCCAGAUGGAUUUGAAAUCUGAGAUCAUUGUGAAAGCUGUUUCUGUUGUCCACAAAU
rnacentral:pre_miRNA from 1 species